rnacentral:misc_RNA from 1 species
AAGACUAUUGAUCUGCUAUGAUUGUCUUGUUUCGUCUUCUUUGUUCAUUUGGGAGCUUGUUUCCUGCUUCAAGAGACAACGGACGUCAAUUUUUGUUGUA